rnacentral:rRNA from 1 species
UGGGUAUGUUAAUAGCAUACUCAUUUGACGUUAGCUGCAGAAGAAGCACCGGCUAACUCCGUGCCAGCAGCCGCGGUAAUACGGAGGGUGCGAGCGUUAAUCGGAAUUACUGGGCGUAAAGCGCAUGCAGGUGGUUUGUUAAGUCAGAUGUGAAAGCCCGGGGCUCAACCUCGGAAUUGCAUUUUGAAACUGGCAAACUAGAGUACUGUAGAGGGGGUAGAAUUUCAGGUGUAGCGGUGAAAUGCGUAGAGAUCUGAAGGAAUACCGGUGGCGAAGGCGGCCCCCCUGGACAGAUACUGACACUCAGAUGCGAAAGCGUGGGGAGCAAACAGGAUUAGAUACCCCUGGUAG